GAUGAACGCUAGCGGCAGGCUUAAUACAUGCAAGUCGAGGGGCAGCAUGAUUGUAGCAAUACAAUUGAUGGCGACCGGCAAACGGGUGCGGAACACGUACACAACCUUCCAACAAGUGGGGGAUAGCCCAGAGAAAUUUGGAUUAAUACCCCGUAACAUAGCGAUGUGGCAUCACAUUGCUAUUAUAGAUUUUUCGCUUGUUGAUGGGUGUGCGGCUGAUUGGAUAGUUGGCGGGGUAACGGCCCACCAAGUCUACGAUCAGUAGCUGAUGUGAGAGCAUGAUCAGCCACACGGGCACUGAGACACGGGCCUGACUCCUACGGGAGGCAGCAGUAAGGAAUAUUGGACAAUGGACGCAAGUUUGAUCCAGCCAUGCCGCGUGAAGGAUUAAGGUCCUCUGGAUUGUAAACUUCUUUUAUAAGGGACGAAAAAAGGCUUUUCUAAGUCGUCUGACGGUACCUUAUGAAUAAGCACCGGCUAACUCCGUGCCAGCCGCCGCGGUAACAC
rnacentral:rRNA from 1 species